rnacentral:rRNA from 1 species
CGGCGAGUGAAGCGGCAACAGCUCAAAUUUGAAAUCUGGCCCUUGUGGUCCGAGUUGUAAUUUGUAGAGGAUGCUUUUGGUGAGGUACCUUCCGAGUUCCCUGGAACGGGACGCCAUAGAGGGUGAGAGCCCCGUCUGGUUGGAUACCGAGCCUCUGUAAAGCUCCUUCGACGAGUCGAGUAGUUUGGGAAUGCUGCUCUAAAUGGGAGGUAUAUGUCUUCUAAAGCUAAAUAUUGGCCAGAGACCGAUAGCGCACAAGUAGAGUGAUCGAAAGAUGAAAAGCACUUUGAAAAGAGGGUUAAAUAGUACGUGAAAUUGUUGAAAGGGAAGCGCUUGUGACCAGACUUGGGCUUGGUUAAUCAUCCAGGGUUCUCCCUGGUGCACUUGGCCAGCCCAGGCCAGCAUCAGUUUGUCGCGGGGGAUAAAGGCGUCGGGAAUGUGGCUCCCCCGGGAGUGUUAUAGCCCUUCGUGUAAUACCCUGCUUUAGACUGAGGUUCGCGCAUCUGCAAGGAUGCUGGCGUAAUGGUCAUCAGCGACCCGUCUUGAAACACGGACCAAGGAGUCGUCUUCGUAUGCGAGUGUUCGGGUGUCAAACCCCUACGCGUAAUGAAAGUGAACGCAGGUGAGAGCUUCGGCGCAUCAUCGACCGAUCCUGAUGUUCUCGGAUGGAUUUGAGUAAGAGCAUACGGGGCCGGACCCGAAAGAAGGUGAACUAUGCCUGUGUAGGGUGAAGCCAGAGGAAACUCUGGUGGAGGCUCGCAGCGGUUCUGACGUGCAAAUCGAUCGUCAAACA